AGUGAACGCUGGCGGCGUGGAUUAGGCAUGCAAGUCGGACGGUAGGGCUUUAUCGUAAGAUAGAGUUUGAGAGUGGCGAACGGGUGAGUAACACGUAGGAAUCUACCCUUAAGACGGGGACAACCCAGGGAAACUUGGGCUAAUACCGGAUGAGAGUGCGAGAGAUUGCAUUUAAAAGGAUGGCGAAAGUUGUCGCUUAGGGAUGAGCCUGCGGUCUAUUAGUUAGUUGGUGAGGUAAGAGCUCACCAAGGCGAUGAUAGAUAGGCGGCCUUAACGGGUGGUCGCCCACACUGGGAUUGAGAUACGGCCCAGACUCCUACGGGAGGCAGCAGUGGGGAAUUUUGGACAAUGGGGGCAACCCUGAUGCAGCAACGCCGCGUGGAGGAAGAAGGUCUUCGGAUUGUAAACUCCUGUCUUCUGGGACGAAUAAUGACGGUACCAGAGGAGGAAGCCACGGCUAACUACGUG
rnacentral:rRNA from 1 species